rnacentral:rRNA from 1 species
UACGAAGGGGGCUAGCGUUGCUCGGAAUUACUGGGCGUAAAGGGCGCGUAGGCGGCUAUUUAAGUUGGGGGUGAAAUCCCGGGGCUCAACCUCGGAAUUGCCUUCAAAACUGGAUAUCUUGAGUUCGGGAGAGGUGAGUGGAACUCCGAGUGUAGAGGUGAAAUUCGUAGAUAUUCGGAAGAACACCAGUGGCGAAGGCGACUCACUGGCCCGAUACUGACGCUGAGGCGCGAAAGCGUGGGGAGCAAACAGG